AAACAGAGCACUUAACCAGAAGGGUGGUUCUGAGACUUGAGAACAAUCAGGAAGAAUCGGGACUGAGGAUUGUCAUCAGUUUCUUCGUCUGUAUAAUGGGAUGAACGUCAGAACCAGCCCACGGGGCCGCCGCCAGGAGUAAUCCAGAUAAUACAAGCGAAAGUCUAGAACUGAGCUGGAGGGUGGAGCCCGGAGCAGGGUGGAAUGCUGCACGUCCUGCACAGAGUGAAGAGGGCCCAUGGCUUCCUUUUUGCUUUCUGUUGGAGUUCUGUCAAGGCCGUCUGAGAUGCGUUAGCUUCUGUUGUGGUGGAGGUCACGGCUCUCCACUGCUGUGUGCAGGACUCAGCGGUGAAUACAGAAAGCUGCACCCAGUGGAAGUAAGCACAAAGGAAUAUACACAACGCACACACCCUCACGCCUCCACCACCCGCCGGCCACCUCCACUCACGAGGUGUAGGAGCCAUCCCAUACACAUCUGCUGACACGCUUUCCUUCCGACGCAAGAUGACACUGUUUCCACCUCUUCAGAAUGACUCACCAGCUACAGUCCUUCGGAGCAUGCUGCCACAAGCAAACCUCAGGUCUUUUUCCAGAGCGCGCCACUGGGCUCUCCACAUCUGGCCAGCAAAAGGGGAAAAGCCAGUUUGAAGACCUCCUGGGGCUUCAGGGUCCGUGGCCAGAAGAGCUGCUCUAGAGUGCCCACCUUCCAUUGGCCAGAAGGGGUCCAAGGUGUCACACAGACGCAAAUGAGCCCAGGAAGAAAAUGAAUUGGUUUGGUAAACAAUGUAAGUGACUUUUCUGCAUUAAUUAUAAUAAUUCUUUACUCCUAUAGGAUGCUUUAUAGUUGUCGAGUUUUAUUGAUAUUAUCUCACUUCAUCCUUGGAGUCUUGGAAAUUAGACAGAGAUGAUUAUUAUUUACAGAUCAGAAAAAUGAGGUUCAAAAUUCUUCAUUGCCUUGCUAGUGAUCAGACAGUGCUAGAGCUAGAACCGGGUGCUGGUUUUCCUCUCUUCUCCUUUGAUAUCUGUUAUGCCACAUGCUUGCCUUGAUUUGUGGUCUACUGUCCUUCAGAAAUAGUCAUGAUAAAGCCAUCUAUGCUGUAGAGAAACAGCAUCAAAAGACACUUAA